rnacentral:SRP_RNA from 1 species
CCGUGCUAGGCGGGGAUGUAGCGGAGCCCUAUACCCGCAAUCCGCUCUAGCGGGGCUGAAUUCCCGUCAUAGGGGCUGAGGCUCUUGGGGUCAGUACGCCGGACUGAGGCGUCGAUGGCCGGGU